GGAUUGUAGUCUGCAACUCGACUACAUGAAGCUGGAAUCGCUAGUAAUCGCAGAUCAGAAUGCUGCGGUGAAUACGUUCCCGGGUCUUGUACACACCGCCCGUCACACCAUGGGAGUUGGAAAUGCCCGAAGUCAGUGACCCAACCGAAAGGGGGAGCUGCCGAAGGCAGGUCUGAUAACUGGGGUGAAGUCGUAACAAGGUAUC
rnacentral:rRNA from 1 species